GAACUGAGUGGCGUAGUGGUUCGCACGUUUGCCUCGCACCUCUGGGGUUGCGGGUUCGAAUCCCGCCUCCA